AGUGAACGCUGGCGGUAGGCCUAACACAUGCAAGUCGAACGGCAGCACAGUAAGAGCUUGCUCUUACGGGUGGCGAGUGGCGGACGGGUGAGGAAUACAUCGGAAUCUACUUUUUCGUGGGGGAUAACGUAGGGAAACUUACGCUAAUACCGCAUACGACCUACGGGUGAAAGCAGGGGAUCUUCGGACCUUGCGCGAUUGAAUGAGCCGAUGUCGGAUUAGCUAGUUGGCGGGGUAAAGGCCCACCAAGGCGACGAUCCGUAGCUGGUCUGAGAGGGUGAUCAGCCACACUGGAACUGAGACACGGUCCAGACUCCUACGGGAGGCCGCAGUGGGGAAUAUUGGCCAAUGGGCGCAAGCCUGAUCCAGCCAUACCGCGUGGGUGAAGAAGGCCUUCGGGUUGUAAAGCCCUUUUGUUGGGAAAGAAAAGCAGCAGGUUAAUACCCCGCUGUUCUGACGGUACCCAAAGAAUAAGCACCGGCUAACUUCGUG
rnacentral:rRNA from 1 species